GUGGGUUUAGCUCAGUAGUAGAGUGCAUGCUUAACAUGCACGAGGCCCUGGGUUAAUGCAUGGGUCCUGGGUUCAAUCCCCAGUACCUCCA
rnacentral:tRNA from 1 species